AUUCCCAUGGACGCGUGCAAAAACCAUAGACAUAAACAGUACUAGCAGCGUGACAAAACGGUUGAAUCAGAGCGUACUGUUAGCUUAUUUUUAGCCUGUAAAAAAUGCCUAAGACGUGUUGUGCUCCCGGUUGCACACAGAGACGGUCCAAAUCGUUGGAUGUACGUUUCUUUCGUUUACCGAAGGACGAAGAAAGAAGAAAGAAAUGGAUCAUUUCAAUGAAAAGGAUGCAGGCAGACGAUCCCACUCGACUGUGGGAGCCCUCAUGCAACGAGAGAAUUUGCAGUCUACACUUCAUCUACGGUGAGCCUUCAAAAAACCCAAACCAUCCCGACUUCCUGCCCACUGUUUUCAACUUUACGCCAUUGACCAAGUCAACUGCAACAUCGUUGGCAUUGACACCCUGUCAAAGGAGGGAGAAUGUACCGGACAGCCAUCAUGAACAAACAGCCGCCCAGGCCUUGUUGGGUUUUGCCCAUCAUACCCCAUCAUACAAAGAAUCAGGAACAGAUCCUGACCCUGACCCUCUUCAGCAGCAGUAUGAUCAGCUACAAAGGGAUUACGCAGGACUUCAAAAGGAGUAUCAACGAGUUCUGGAUGAAAAUCGACAUCUCAAGGCCCAACGUGAAGCAAGUCGGCUUACUUAAUUUGACGGUGUCAAAUUAAGGGAAGUGUCGGCCCAACGCCAACCAAGAUAUAUAUUUUUUCAUCCAAAUCCUGUAUGUUUAGUUACAUGUUAACACGUUUAAACAUUGUAAGGGAAAAAAUAUAGAUUGAAUAAAUAUAUGGAAACAUUUUUUGUUCA